GCGCAGCAGUCGAGAAUCUUCCCCAAUGGACGAAAGUCUGAGGGAGCGACGCCGCGUGAAUGAAGAAGCCCUUCGGGGUGUAAAAUUCUUUUCUUUAGGAAAAAUUCGUGAUGGGUACUAAAGGAAUAAGGGGCCGCCAAACUCGUGCCAGCAGCGGCGGUAAUACGAGUGCCCCGAGCGUUAUCCGGAAUUACUGGGCGUAAAGCGCUAAAAGGCGGUUUGAUAAGUCAGACGUC
rnacentral:rRNA from 1 species